rnacentral:rRNA from 1 species
GAUGAACGCUGGCGGCGUGCCUAAUACAUGCAAGUCGAGCGAACAGACGAGGAGCUUGCUCCUCGUACGUUAGCGGCGGACGGGUGAGUAACACGUGGAUAACCUACCUAUAAUACUGGGAUAACGUCGGGAAACCGGAGCUAAUACCGGAUAAUAUAUUGAACCGCAUGGUUCAAUAGUGUAGGACGGUGUUGCUGUCACUUAUAGUUGGAUCCGCGCCGCAGUAGCUAGUUGGUAAGGUAACGGCGUACCACGGCAACGAUGCGUAGCCGACCUGAGAGGGUGAUUGGCCAGACUGGAACUGAGACACGCUCCAGACUCCUACGGUAGGACGCAGUAGGGAAUCUUACGCAAGGGGCGAAAGCCUGACGGAGCAACGUCGCGUGAGUGAUGAAGGUCCUAGGCUCGUAAAACUCUGUUAUUAGGGAAGAACAAAUGUGCAAGUAAAUAUGCACGUCUUGACGGUAACUAAUCAGAAAGCCACGGCUAACUACGUG